AAUAACACUUUAUAAUAGAAGUCUGCAGCUCAACAAGGCAUUCUGGGACUAUAAUUGCAACUAUACAAAUGACUCUACCAUAGACAGCCAAAGCAUAGUUUCACCUUCAAGCUAGUUGCUGAAGUGACAGUCCCAUUAGCGACUGUUGUAAUUAUUACUAAUAUACAAGUUGACAUCCAAUUUACUGGACAAUGCGAAUAGGUACUGAGUCUUUUUGCCGGUUUAGAAGGUUGGCCGACCUAACAGGGAAUUUCGUUCCCUUCGCGUUUAACCGCAUAAACGCAGACUUCUCAUACAAAUAAAACCCAUUUUUUGAAGAAAGAGUACAUAUUUAUUAACUGAAAAACUUGUGAGGAGACGCGGAAAGCAGGCGGUGUCAUAUGACAGUCUCUGGAAGGCGGCAGCGCAUGCAGCCCGCGACACCGGAAGUGUGAUAACUUCUCCUCUGAUUGACUUGCGAGCUAGCAGGCGUCGACCAAUCAGAAAGAGGCUACUGGUUGCCCCUCCCGCGUCUUUGGCGACCGGACUACAAAACGCCCAGAACUGGGUGGUGCCUGGCGCCCCCAUCAGUGAGUGCAAGCGGAGAGAACCCGGCGUUUGCGGUGGUUCGUCACCGUGGGGGCGGCGGGGUAGCGCCACGCGAGCCCAGUAGUAACCACAGGCGCAGCAUCCUCCACCUCACCCUCAUUAACGCCCGCUUGGGAUUCGUGUGCUUCAAACCGUGCCUUCCCUUUGUACCGCGUGCCUGUAAGAAAGACCGAAGCUCAAAACAGCAGACUUAAAGUCCAGCCACCUGCUGCUUAAGCUAAGCCUCGACUUCCCAAGGCCGAGGCUGCCUUCUUGUCAGGGCCUCCUGUAGAAGCCUGUCCGCGACCCUUUUUUGCGGGGGGAGUACUGCGAAUGGAACUCAGGACCCUGCAUCCCCUGUCCGAGACUGUCUUAACAAGCCUUUCUUGUUCGUCCCUCUGGCGGGUGAGCAUCUGUGACAUCCUCCAUCUCCUCCAAGCUGCUGUUUGUUUUGGCCUAACAAUUGCUUCUCAGAUGCAGGUUCAUUCUGAGCCGAAGCCAGAGCUCGAAGCCCAAGAGGUACCGACAUCCAAGUGACAGGGUAUCAAACUGGAGGCAGUAACCUGCAGCUAGUUCUGGGGCGCCAUGCUGAGGCGGUGAAGGGGAAGGAGAUGUGGAUCUGUGUCGUCUUGGAGAUCUGGAAUGCCGCCCAUGCGGGGACCUGGAGCGGCUUCUGCGAUCUCUCUCCCCUGGGACUGGGACUUUCUGUAGCGCUGCGCUCUCUGGCAGGAGGUAGACCGGGAUCAUCUGUUUCCUCUGUGAAGAUCGUGGGGAUCGUCUGCGGCUGUGACCCAUUCGGAGGCCUACUUCUCAUAUAGCCCCAGACAAUCUACUUUACUGUAUUAUGUAUUUUUUUGGAUUAGUAGUGAUAAUGACGUGCUGACAUGUUUAUAUACCUUUUGCAAAUGA